rnacentral:rRNA from 1 species
UAGGGAAUCUUCGGCAAUGGGGGGAACCCUGACCGAGCAACGCCGCGUGAGUGAAGAAGGUUUUCGGAUCGUAAAGCUCUGUUGUUAAGGAAGAACGAGUGUGAGAAUGGAAAGUUCAUGCUGUGACGGUACUUAACCAGAAAGGGACGGCUAACUACGUGCCAGCAGCCGCGGUAAUACGUAGGUCCCGAGCGUUGUCCGGAUUUAUUGGGCGUAAAGCGAGCGCAGGCGGUUCGAAAAGUCUGAAGUGAAAGGCAGUGGCUCAACCAUUGUAGGCUUUGGAAACUGUUUAACUUGAGUGCAGAAGGGGAGAGUGGAAUUCCAUGUGUAGCGGUGAAAUGCGUAGAUAUAUGGAGGAACACCGGUGGCGAAAGCGGCUCUCUGGUCUGUAACUGACGCUGAGGCGCGAAAGCGUGGGGAGCGAACAGG